rnacentral:rRNA from 1 species
CGUGGAGACAGGUGGUGCAUGGCUGUCGUCAGCUCGUGUCGUGAGAUGUUGGGUUAAGUCCCGCAACGAGCGCAACCCUCACCUCUUGUUGCCAUCAGGUCAUGCUGGGCACUCUAGAGGAACUGCCCCGGUCAACGGGGAGGAAGGCGGGGAUGACGUCAAGUCAUCAUGCCCCUUACGUCCUGGGCUACACACGUGCUACAAUGGCCGGUACAAAGGGAUGCCACACCGCGAGGUAGAGCUAAACCCAAAAAGCCGGUCUAAGUUCAGAUUGGAGUCUGCAACUCGACUCCAUGAAGGAGGAAUCGCUAGUAAUCGCGUAUCAGCACGACGCGGUGAAUACGUUCCCGGGCCUUGUGCACACCGCCCGUCACACCACGAAAGCCUGCUGUACUCGAAGUCGCUGAG